rnacentral:rRNA from 1 species
GCCGGCGGUGUGCCUAAUACAUGCAAGUCGUACGCACUGGCCCAACUGAUUGAUGGUGCUUGCACCUGAUUGACGAUGGAUCACCAUUGAGUGGCGGACGGGUGAGUAACACGUAGGUAACCUGCCCCGGAGCGGGGGAUAACAUUUGGAAACAGAUGCUAAUACCGCAUAACAACAAAAGCCACAUGGCUUUUGUUUGAAAGAUGGCUUUGGCUAUCACUCUGGGAUGGACCUGCGGUGCAUUAGCUAGUUGGUAAGGUAACGGCUUACCAAGGCGAUGAUGCAUAUCCGAGUUGAGAGACUGAUCGGCCACAAUGGAACUGAGACACGGUCCAUACUCCUACGGGAGGCAGCAGUAGGGAAUCUUCCACAAUGGGCGCAAGCCUGAUGGAGCAACACCGCGUGAGUGAAGAAGGGUUUCGGCUCGUAAAGCUCUGUUGUUGGAGAAGAACGUGCGUGAGAGUAACUGUUCACGCAGUGACGGUAUCCAACCAGAAAGUCACGGCUAACUACGUGCCAGCAGCCGCGGUAAUACGUAGGUGGCAAGCGUUAUCCGGAUUUAUUGGGCGUAAAGCGAGCGCAGGCGGUUGCUUAGGUCUGAUGUGAAAGCCUUCGGCUUAACCGAAGAAGUGCAUCGGAAACCGGGCGACUUGAGUGCAGAAGAGGACAGUGGAACUCCAUGUGUAGCGGUGGAAUGCGUAGAUAUAUGGAAGAACACCAGUGGCGAAGGCGGCUGUCUGGUCUGCAACUGACGCUGAGGCUCGAAAGCAUGGGUAGCGAACAGGAUUAGAUACCCUGGUAGUCCAUGCCGUAAACGAUGAGUGCUAGGUGUUGGAGGGUUUCCGCCCUUCAGUGCCGGAGCUAACGCAUUAAGCACUCCGCCUGGGGAGUACGACCGCAAGGUUGAAACUCAAAGGAAUUGACGGGGGCCCGCACAAGCGGUGGAGCAUGUGGUUUAAUUCGAAGCUACGCGAAGAACCUUACCAGGUCUUGACAUCUUGCGCUAACCUUAGAGAUAAGGCGUUCCCUUCGGGGACGCAAUGACAGGUGGUGCAUGGUCGUCGUCAGCUCGUGUCGUGAGAUGUUGGGUUAAGUCCYGCAACGAGCGCAACCCUUGUUACUAGUUGCCAGCAUUAAGUUGGGCACUCUAGUGAGACUGCCGGUGACAAACCGGAGGAAGGUGGGGACGACGUCAGAUCAUCAUGCCCCUUAUGACCUGGGCUACACACGUGCUACAAUGGACGGUACAACGAGUCGCAAGCUCGCGAGAGUAAGCUAAUCUCUUAAAGCCGUUCUCAGUUCGGACUGUAGGCUGCAACUCGCCUACACGAAGUCGGAAUCGCUAGUAAUCGCGGAUCAGCAUGCCGCGGUGAAUACGUUCCCGGGCCUUGUACACACCGCCCGUCACACCAUGGGAGUUUGUAACGCCCAAAGUCGGUGGCCUAACCUUUAUGGAGGGAGCCGCCUAAGGCGGGACAG